UAUUCUAGGAAACCCCGUAAUCCCGAGUCCCAACCAUUACUGAACACAACCAUGUAUGCUUUUAGGAUUGUACUGAAAACUAUCCUCCGUGAGUGAUCUUAGAAUUUUCCUUUGAAAACCUCAUAUGUAAGUUUUGUCGGGUAAAAUAAAGAAAGAAAAUCAUUUCACAA